rnacentral:rRNA from 1 species
GCAAGUCGAACGGUAACAUUUCUAGCUUGCUAGAAGAUGACGAGUGGCGGACGGGUGAGUAAUACUUAUGGAUUUGCCUUGGUGUGGGGGAUAACCAUUGGAAACGAUUGCUACUACCGAAUGAUGGGUUCUUUUAAACGAGAAUACCAAAGUGGGCUUCGGCUCGCGCGCUAAGAGAAACCUAAGCGAGAUUAGCUAGUUGGUGAGGUAAAGGCUCACCAAGGCGACGAUCUCUAGCUGUUCUGAGAGGAAGAUC